AAAUUGAAGAGUUUGAUCAUGGCUCAGAUUGAACGCUGGCGGCAGGCCUAACACAUGCAAGUCGAGCGGAAACGAGUUAUCUGAACCUUCGGGGAACGAUAACGGCGUCGAGCGGCGGACGGGUGAGUAAUGCCUAGGAAAUUGCCCUGAUGUGGGGGAUAACCAUUGGAAACGAUGGCUAAUACCGCAUAAUGCCUUCGGGCCAAAGAGGGGGACCUUCGGGCCUCUCGCGUCAGGAUAUGCCUAGGUGGGAUUAGCUAGUUGGUGAGGUAAGGGCUCACCAAGGCGACGAUCCCUAGCUGGUCUGAGAGGAUGAUCAGCCACACUGGAACUGAGACACGGUCCAGACUCCUACGGGAGGCAGCAGUGGGGAAUAUUGCACAAUGGGCGCAAGCCUGAUGCAGCCAUGCCGCGUGUGUGAAGAAGGCCUUCGGGUUGUAAAGCACUUUCAGUCGUGAGGAAGGC
rnacentral:rRNA from 1 species